UACAGAGACUGCAAGCGUUAUUCGGAUUCACUGGGCGUAAAGGGUGCGCAGGCGGUUGGGUGUGUCAGAUGUGAAAUCCCGAGGCUUAACCUCGGAACUGCGUCUGAAACUACUCGACUAGAGUACUGGAGAGGGAAACGGAAUUCACGGUGUAGCAGUGAAAUGCGUAGAUAUCGUGAGGAACACCAGAGGCGAAGGCGGUUUCCUGGACAGUUACUGACGCUCAGGCACGAAAGCAUGGAGGCAAAAGGG
rnacentral:rRNA from 1 species